AUGGCGAUCUGCAAGGUCUGGAUCUCGCUGCUGCUCGCGCUCGCCGUCGUCCUGUCCGCCCCGGCGGCCAGGGCGGAGGAGGCUGCCGCCGCCGAGGAGGCCGCCGCGGCCCCCGAGGCCGUGCUCACCCUGCACGCCGACAACUUCGACGACGCCAUCGCCAAGCACCCCUUCAUCCUCGUCGAGUUCUACGCCCCAUGGUGUGGACACUGCAAGAGCUUGGCACCUGAGUAUGAGAAGGCGGCCCAACUGUUGAGCAAGCACGACCCAGCGAUUGUUCUCGCUAAAGUUGAUGCCAACGAUGAGAAGAACAAGCCGCUUGCGGGCAAGUACGAGGUCCAGGGCUUCCCUACCCUCAAGAUCUUCAGGAACGGAGGAAAGAACAUUCAGGAAUACAAGGGCCCCAGGGAGGCUGAGGGAAUUGUUGAGUACUUGAAGAAGCAGGUUGGCCCUGCUUCCAAGGAGAUCAAGGCACCUGAAGAUGCCACUUACCUCGAAGACGGCAAGAUCCACAUUGUUGGUGUCUUCACGGAAUUCAGCGGCACUGAGUUUACAAACUUCCUUGAGGUUGCUGAGAAGCUGAGGUCUGAUUAUGACUUUGGCCACACCGUGCAUGCCAACCAUCUCCCACGUGGUGAUGCCGCAGUGGAGAGGCCAUUGGUUAGGCUAUUCAAGCCAUUUGAUGAGCUCGUUGUUGACAGCAAGGAUUUUGAUGUUUCUGCUUUGGAGAAAUUCAUUGAGGCUAGCAGCACCCCGAAAGUUGUUACUUUUGACAAGAACCCUGACAACCAUCCUUACCUCUUGAAAUUCUUCCAGAGCAAUGCUCCCAAGGCCAUGCUCUUUUUGAACUUCUCCACUGGACCGUUUGAGUCCUUCAAGAAAGCCUACUAUGGUGCUGUAGAGGAGUUCAGCGGCAAGGAUGUCAAGUUCCUAAUUGGUGACAUUGAAGCGAGCCAAGGCGCUUUCCAGUACUUCGGGCUGAAAGAGGAUCAGGCACCACUUAUCCUCAUUCAAGACAGUGACUCGAAGAAGUUUUUGAAGGAACAGGUUGAGGCUGGCCAAAUUGUUGCUUGGUUGAAGGAUUACUUCGAUGGCAAAUUGACACCAUUCAGGAAGUCCGAGCCUAUUCCUGAGGCCAACAAUGAGCCUGUUAAGGUAGUUGUGGCUGACAACGUUCACGACGUGGUCUUCAAAUCUGGCAAAAAUGUUCUUAUUGAAUUCUAUGCGCCCUGGUGCGGACACUGCAAGAAGCUAGCACCCAUCCUCGACGAGGCAGCUGCCACCCUUCAAAGCGAAGAGGACGUUGUGAUCGCGAAGAUGGACGCGACCGCGAAUGACGUGCCCAGUGAGUUCGAUGUCCAGGGUUACCCCACCCUCUACUUCGUCACUCCCAGCGGAAAGAAGGUCUCCUACGAGGGCGGCAGGACGGCCGAUGAGAUUGUCGACUACAUCAAGAAGAACAAGGAGACUGCCGGGCAGGCGGCGACCGAGAAGGCGGCGGAACCGGCUGCCACGGAGCCUCUGAAGGACGAGCUCUGA
rnacentral:rRNA from 1 species